CAUGGUGAGAACAAUGGAUGGUGGCCAUUUUAACUCACAGACACUGUUUGGACUUUUCAACACGGUGCCAUCUCACCAGUAUUUGGUGCACAGAGACAUCGUGCAGUGGUUUUGGACUAUACAGCAGGGGACACAUUAUACAGUGAUUGGUUUUUAUUUAGCCUGCAUAUGUUCUGCAGAAUCUGCAUUAAACUGUAUCUUCCAAAGUACUGAACGGAUCUGGGUGAAUUUUGGAUAUGUGGUUCAUAUGGGUGGGUUAUUGCAUGUUUUGGGGUCCCUGUGAUAUGUUUUAUAAUACUGUGUUUCUCUGCCUGUGAUAAUUAUAUUACCCAUUGUGUUCAGUAAUCAUAUCACAGGCGAGGGGAGGAUUUUGUGUGGGAGUGUCUGUGUGUAUUGUACGGAUUGAUUGGCUGUGUUUCAAAACCCUGUGGGCUGUACUAUGUUUGUGGAUUGUGAAUAAAAGAGGCUGUAUGUGCCAGUACAGUCAGUUCUGCUUGACCUCAAAACGAAGUGUGGUCUCGUUAUUGGGGGAUUGGAUUGUAU